rnacentral:lncRNA from 1 species
GCGGAUUGGGGCAGCGCGUGCCGGAAGCCGGCCGCCGCCAUCUUGGUAAAGGACGGGGACACCGCCCAGCCGCCCGCCCACCAUCUUGGCAAAGGGUCUGGGUAGCGGGUGGCCGAAGUCGUUGUUCCUCUCCCCGAAGGGUGAACGCUGCUCCGUGCGUUGUCCAAUAUGAAAGGAAAGAACUAGGCUUUUGGCAAGCCGCCUGUCCGGAGCCCGUCUACACGGGCAGCCUCCAGACCGUUUUGGGCCGCCAUCUUGGCAAAGGAAGCGACGCUCCCCGCCGCGGGAAAACGGGAACCAAAGCGUUUGCCAAAGUAGAAGCCUCAGCCAGUAGAGUUUUUAUGAAGGGCGCUCAACAGUCCACUUGUUAACCAAAGCUCCUUCUGGAUCCAGAAGCGAUGCCUCCUCUUUGCCUUUUCUUUGGAGCAAGUCAACUAGGAGGAGGCCCUUGCCUUGGAUGCUCAUAGUGGACCCUAAGUCCAGCAGGUCAUCUUAAAGUGGAGGAAGACACAUCAUUUUAAAUUAAAAGUUGCUAUUGAAAAUACUUUUAAUUGAGUGAAAGUGUGAAAUUUCCCUAAUUUUCCCCUUCUGUGUUCUAAAUAUGCCUGUUAAUUUUUUAAUUUGAUAGAAAAAAAUUCUCAUUCUUUAGUCUUUCACAUUCCUUUGAAAGCAUGCUUUUUCUGUAAUUUAACCCAAUGUCUGUUCUUCAGAGGUAGAAUAGUUAUGCUUUAUGGCUAGUACUUAUUGAGUCUUCCACUCUGCUGCCCACUUUUGCUGGCAAGAGCUGAUUGACGUAUUAUUACUAUAAUUUUUCAACAUGAGGAAACAGGCUUUACAGAGGUUGAUGCUGAUCCAAGGUCACCCAGCUCCUAAGUGUGGAGGGUAGAAUUAAAGAAUAUUAAACAGGUUUUUCUUCACUAAUUUCAUAAUUUCCAUGAAGGAGUACGUUGAUCCCAUGUUAGGCUUGCAAUAAGUGUGUAUGGAAUUUAAUUCAAGAGAUGAAGUCCAGUGUACCAGAAAGGACGUGAGAUUAAGCAUUGUAAUAACAACAGCAAUUCUAGCAGUAGUUAACGUUUAUUGAACAUCUAGUGUCUGCCAGAUACUAUUGAAAGUAUUUUAUAUACACUAUCUUAAGUCUUUAGGCAUGGCAAUUACUAAUCUGUAACCCUGGAAAGUUACAGUUACUAUAAGAGAAGAAAUAGGAUGAAUCCCUGUAUGUUGGGGAGUCUAUUUGAUUGUCUCAGAAGUAGAGGCGGGAAUGAAGGUGGUAUAUCCAAACUCCAUCAAGGCAAGGAGCUGAUCUGUCUUGUUCAUUGCUGAGUGCCCACUCCUAGAACAGAGCCCAGUGUAUGGUGGACACUCAGCAAAUAUUUUACAGAGUUAUAAUAAUAUUGAGCCAACUAGACAUAAUAUCACUUUUACUAGGUUGUUGUGGAGGCCAAAUGAGUUAAUGAAAAGUGUACAAAUAUUAUUCAAGAUCUCAUUUUUAUUGCCUUGUGUUUAAACACCUGAGUGCUCCCUAAUUAAAAAAAAAAC